rnacentral:rRNA from 1 species
GCAAAACGCGAAGAACCUUACCAGGUCUUGACAUCCCUCUGACCGGUCCGUAACGGGACCUUUCUUUCGGGACAGAGGAGACAGGUGGUGCAUGGUUGUCGUCAGCUCGUGUCGUGAGAUGUUGGGUUAAGUCCCGCAACGAGCGCAACCCCUAUCCUUAGUAGCCAGCAUGAAAGAUGGGCACUCUAGGGAGACUGCCAGGGAUAACCUGGAGGAAGGCGGGGAUGACGUCAAAUCAUCAUGCCCCUUAUGAUCUGGGCUACACACGUGCUACAAUGGUGACUACAAAGGGAAGCAACCCUGCGAAGGUGAGCAAAUCCCAAAAAGGUCAUCCCAGUUCGGAUUGUAGUCUGCAACUCGACUACAUGAAGCUGGAAUCGCUAGUAAUCGCGAAUCAGAAUGUCGCGGUGAAUACGUUCCCGGGUCUUGUACACACCG